UACGUAGGGUGCAAGCGUUAAUCGGAAUUACUGGGCGUAAAGCGUGCGCAGGCGGUUCGGAAAGAAAGAUGUGAAAUCCCAGGGCUUAACCUUGGAACUGCAUUUUUAACUACCAGACUAGAGUGUGUCAGAGGGAGGUGGAAUUCCGCGUGUAGCAGUGAAAUGCGUAGAUAUGCGGAGGAACACCGAUGGCGAAGGCAGCCUCCUGGGAUAACACUGACGCUCAUGCACGAAAGCGUGGGGAGCAAACAGG
rnacentral:rRNA from 1 species